CGUUACUGUAUGUAAUUGAUUCCACUUAACCAAUUCUUGCUCUCAUCUAUAUCUUUUUUUUUCCUUUCAUGAAUGAACCUUUAGAUUUUAGAUUCUAAAGGAUUGGCAAUAGCAUAAUUUGUGGAUAAGAUCUCAUUUGUAUAUUGACCUGGGGUCUGGGGCUUGGUCCUUUGGGAUCGAGAGAACCUUUUUUCUUUUACUGGGGUAUUGGUUUUCAUAACGAUUCACCCCCAAAAUG